rnacentral:rRNA from 1 species
AGAACGAACGCUGGCGGCAUGCCUAACACAUGCAAGUCGAACGCUCCUGGGGCUUCGGUCUCAGGGGAGUGGCGCACGGGUGAGUAGCGCGUGGGAACCUGCCCUGUUGUGGGGGAUAACCGAGGGAAACUUCGGCUAAUACCGCAUAAGCCGGUUGUCUUGAAAGAGAUGGCCGGGAAAGAUUUAUCGCGACAGGAGGGGCCCGCGUCGGAUUAGCUAGUUGGUGGGUAACGCCCACCAAGGCAGUGAUCCGUAGCUGGUCUGAGAGGAUGAUCAGCCACACUGGGACUGAGACACGGCCCAGACUCCUACGGGAGGCAGCAGUGGGGAAUAUUGGACAAUGGGGGCAACCCUGAUCCAGCAAUGCCGCGUGAGUGAUGAAGGCCUUAGGGUUGUAAAGCUCUUUCGCCCGCGACGAUGAUGACGGUAGCGGGAGAAGAAGCCCGGCUAACUUCGUGCCAGCAGCCGC